CCAGACUUCCUUCUCUCCUCCACCGGCACAACUAUGAGAGAGAGACCUCAAAGCACAUCUAUGAGAGGGGAAACAGAUCGAGGAAGAGGGAGCAGCCGCACCAAAUCGAGUGGCUUGCUCGUCCAUUACCAAGGUUUGGAAGGGGAUGCUCUUGUAGGCCAGGCCUGACCGAGGCUGGGCCAUGCGUUUGAGCGGCGGAUCCUGCGUCGCCCAGCAGUGAGGCCGCAUCUCGCCGAUCUGGAGAGGCAAAGCGGUCGGCAGGGAGGCCAUGACAGAAUAUGAGAAGUCCCUUGUUGGUUGCUUCGCAGAGUGCGCUGCUCUCUGGUUCAUGGCGUUGGGACCCAAAACAUCUUAUCCGUAGUGUUCCUCGUCCUCUAUGACAGAGUUUAUGAAGGUCUAACUACUCUCCCAUUGUCUUUUGCAACCUCCUCUUGCUGGCACUAUAUAUGUAGUACUUCAUAAGUCGAUUUACAUAGUUGAUUUGUUAAAUUUACUCAUAUGCAAGGUUAUGAUUCCAAACUUUGACUUUUUUAUAGCAUUUGCGUGUACAUCGAAGCACCAAUUAUGUAGUACAUACCGGUAAUUAUAAUUUAGGAGAUGACCUCAUACAUUGACUUGCCAAUUGCCAUUGUUGUGCCUUGCGUUUUUGUAGGGAAUUAAAUUUACAUUUUUCUAUUGACAUUCUAGCCAAAUUCAAUUGGUAUCUCUUCAACACAUACAUAGUAAUUUGGUUCGGCAAUUUUAGAAGGUUAUUUACGGAAGAGCAAGUUCUUUUAACAGUCUAGGCUGCACUUGUUAACACACACACACAUAUAUAGGGUGGGUCUAUUCUAACAACACCCUUAAGGCUCUUAUUCUGCACACAAAAUCCUUAUUCUGCUAACACUAGAAAACUAUUCAGCCCCGCACCCACCCCGAACUAAACCAGGCCACCUACCACUAACCCACGAUCCCCUCCACCUUCGUCCGCAGAUGCCACCCCCCACCACCGGCCAGCCUUCCCCGCUCCGCCGCCCACCCACCACCCCCUCCACCAACCUUCUGCCGUUGCUGGCCCGGCACUAGGGGCAGUUGCCGGUAGCGCACCACCCCGUCGCUCCACCUCCAGUGAGCUAGCGACGGGAUCCGGCCCUCCCCAACCAACAUCGCACCCCUACCUUCUUCCCCUACACCUUCUUCCCCCUCACUCCGCCGGCGCCGCCAGCAGUAGACCCGCCCCGGCGAUCCCCUCCACCUUCCUCCGACACGGGGCUCCGCCGCCUUGCCCAGGACCAAGAUAUCGUGCUCCUUCGCCACUGGAUCCCGUUGUCGGCCACACCGCGACGAGCUCGGGCAUCACGAGCCGCCGCGAGGCCAACCAUCGCCGGAUUCGGACAACCGUGGCCCCACACGACCCGCCAUCGUCGAUUCGUAGCCCGCAAGGCCUCGCGCGAGCCGCCUCCUUUCCCUUCGUCGCAUGGGGCCGCCCCACCUUCUCCUCCUCCUUGGUUCAGAUCGAGCCAAGGACGAGCUUUCUCCUCCUCGUUGCGGUCCCCGACCAUGGCGCCAUCUGUGCUGCUCGGCCGCCACCCCACCUCGUGCAGCUUGGUCGUCGCCCCUGUGCAGCUCGCCCCCUCCCCUCGUGCAUCUCGGUCCCCGGCCAAGGCUUCCAUCCUCCAGAUCCGGCAGCCAUGGCUUCCGCUGCCUCCUCUACGCCUGUAAUGGCGGCGACAACCACCCGUGCAAUACAGAAAAGGGCUUAUUUCUUCUUUUUUGCUGUGUUGGAUGUGCAGUGCUGCUAGAUCCUGCAAGCAAUACGUUGUGUGCCUUCGUGUGGUUCAUCCACGACCGCCGCGAAUCCCCUCCCUUCCAUACCCUCUCUAUUCCACAGUCGGGCACGCUCCUCACGGGGCUGCUACUGGUCUGAGCACCGUGGGACGAGCUCGAGCGCCUGGUCUCCUUGCGGGUGCGUGAUGGAGGGAUGCAAGUCAGGGAGGAUGAUUGGCGUGCAGGUUCCGUAGUACUGCCUGACCGAGCCAUCCACAUACGUGGGUGUCGUGCCAGUGUUGUUCGUCGUGGACGCAUGGUGCAGUGCACCUCGUCGUGUGGUGCGGUUCAGAACAGUUUCUUACCACAUUUUUUCUAGAUUUUGCAUGUGCGAUUCAGUCACAUCACUUGAGCAAAAUAAUUUUGUGUGUAUUUUUUUAGAUUAUGGCUGUUGAUUUGGGUGAAUUCAGUUUCUAAUGAAGUUUGUUAAAUCCCUCUGUGUAGUUCGGCUGGCGCCGACAUGAGGUUCACUUCUACAUGGUAGCUUGGAUGCCUUGGCAUUGCACAUCGUCAUUUGUUGUGGUGCCGUGCGGGUGUGUGCGGCGUGCAGCUCGAAGCAAGCGGGCAUGCAGUUUAGACCGUUGUUUGCGGGUUUUUUUGUCUAUCAAAUGUAUCCGAUUAUGAUGUAUUGUGUGUAAAAAAUAUUUGUUGAGAAGUUUAUUUCAACAAGCAUUAAUGGUUCAUUUUCGAGAGGGAAAAUUUGUUGAUGAAGGCCACUUCGAGGAGUCUUGUGGUUCAUUGUAUUCAAUGAGGAGUCUUGUUGUCUCAUGCAGUUUGCUAUAAAAACUGAUAGAUAUGGCUUUGAAGCUCACUUAGUUGUCCCAUGCAGUUUGCUAUAAAACUUCUACGUGGUUCACUUGUCCCACUUGUAAAACACUUAUAAAAUAGAAAAAAAACACUUGUAAAACAGGGAAAAAUAAUAUCUCAAAGAAACUCGCUUCUAUAUUAGAUGUAGUUCACUCGCUUGGUCAACGCGCAUAAAAAACUUGUAAAACAGGGAAAAAUAAUAUCUCAAAGAAGCUCGCUUCUAUAUUAGAUGUAGUUCACUCGCUCAGUCACUGUGGUCCACUCGCUUGGUCAACACGCAUAAAAACUUGUAAAACAGGGGAAAAAUAUCUCAAAGAAGCCGGCUUCUAUAUUAGAU
rnacentral:lncRNA from 1 species